CGUUGCACAGGCCCCGAUUUGCAAUUCAAAUCAAUUCAAUCCCACAAAAGGCUCUUUCGCCUCUAUUAAGUCGUUGUGGCAGAAGCAAUGGAUAUCCUGCGAGGACAGCGAAGAAGAUACGGAGCUGGAAAAUCCGCUUCCUGGCGAAAGUGCGAAAAUGACACAGGUAGCCUAAAACGUAGCGAUUGUUUUGGAUUAUGGAGACAGGACCUCGUUGGAUUGCCAAAAAUGUCAAGUUGUCCGAUUGUAUCCAGCAUGUUGGAGAAAAGAGAUGCCGAGGUCUCUUAGCCAAGGGUUCCGUUCUGUUGGCUAGCUGCUACCAACGGUCUGAAAGGAGUGGGAAAAGGGCCAUCCCCAAGGAAAGGGGAAAAUGAGAAGGAGGGGUAGGUUUCCGAUGCCAAAAUCUGGACCAACCCGGCGAGGUCAAAGGCCUCAGACCGCGGGAGUGUAAAGUAAUGAUGAUGAUGAUGUCAUGAAAAAUCGCAAAUGCACGCUCCUAUUCAUGCACGAGCGAGUGGCAAAUCUCCUCGCGUCAUUACCAAGUGCACCGGAAUAAUUCAGUUUUCCGCUAGCAGUCUGCACGCGCUUUCCAGAAUUAUAAAAAAGGACAGAAGUAGAAAAUGAUUGUUCUGUGGUGCGAACGGUCGUCUUGAUCCUGUUUGAAUCCAGUAAAGGUAUAAACUCCAGCCGAUUAAACCACCAAAUACAAGGGCUCAUAUCUAUGGAGGAUAUUAUGGCAGCAUUCCAGGGCUGGGUAGAGCAUCGUGACUGUAUUCUCUCACAGAUAAAACCGAGUAGGGUCUUUGCUGUAAGCACGGAACUGGGCCGGUUUGAACCGAGAGUGAGGGACAAUGCGAGACACUUUAAUUGUCUCGAUUUGAGUCGAAUUCCAAUUAACUUUGUUUUUUUUCAUCGUCGAGAUGUAUAAGCUACUGUGGUUUCCAGACAGAAACACACCUGUACCAAUGAUGUACCAAUUGAACCUUUGAUAAUUCAAUUGAGGAAAUCUAGCUCCAAGAGCAAGAAAAGCAAAAUGUGACCCACACUUUGGGACCAGCUCCGAGCGGGUGUGAGCAGUGCAGAUGGAGAAAAUGAAGUGAAGAAACCAAGGGUUCUGCCUGGGAAAUCGCCCAUGCAUAAUGAAACCACCCGCUCCGCCAUUCUCAAUGCUUCGACGCUGUUGGUUCCAGCCUGCGUAUUAUUUGUAAUAUUGAUGCAUAUGUAAAAGGUAUAUUUGCAUUUGCUUUACUUUUUUAUGAUUCGUUUAGCAUUCUAUUACUUUUGGUGGUGAUUGCUAUGCGUAUUUAUCUAUGAUGACGAGCAGCUACACGAAUACAUAACCUUACGAAUCAUACACAAAUAACAGUAAAUAACAUUAUGCAAAGUGUAUUAGUUUGUUAAGAAUGUGAAAAAGUCAAAUAUAAUGUUUUUAACCUUGGACAAUGUAUGAACAAAGCGACUUGUCAAACUAUAGAAGAGAUUCAGUGCGAUUAUAAUGCUGAGGAUAUGUUCUUAUUUAAACUUGAAUUAUCUAUUUUAAAACGUUUCAAUUUAUUUAUAUACUCCAAGCAGUGUGCUGUAGAUUGUGCUUGGGAUUAGUUUACAUGAAACCUUUAGGAUCACGGUAUGUGAAAUGUGCAUUUGCAGGAUGUAAGUAGCUAAAUGUUAAGUGUUACCGCACCUUAGGUUUCUUUAAAGGCGACAUUUCCCCGGUAUAGGCUGAUGAUGCGUACACACACAGGCGGCGUUUACGGGAGCGCGCGCGCGGCCACAGCACCACCCAACCAUGCACACACACGCACGCUCACAGACACACACACACACACGCUGACAAACACACAGAAAGAAACGCUGACUUGUUAACCGUUGUCUUGAAAUAGCAAGUCUGUUAUUUUUUCCGUAGCUUAUUGUCGUUUUGUUUUAUCAAAAAAAUGUUUUGCAUAAUUAGUAUUUUGCCUGUUUAAAAUAAAAUCGCAAGGCGUCGUCUAAAGUAAAUGAGACACAUUUAACUUACCCUUAUAUUUUACAUAACCAUUCAAAUCUUCCUGGGCUAUGCACGCGCUCUCAAUCAAGUCGACGCCAAUUGUCCAGCCCAACUUAUUGUGCGAGCCGGUUGGAGAUGCUCUAGUCCCUACUCGUAACUCAGCCUCCUCGUCAAGUGAACCUUGCUCCCGAACCGCUCGUCUGAUGUGUCACCCAAUAGAAGUGGUCAGACGUGUCCACGUAGGCUAAAGAUUUUUCCCUCCAAACAGGGCUCAUGCUGUCAUGGACAUGCAAGUUGUUUGGGUUGACACAGGCUAAAUCAUAGUCUCCAACGUUCUAAGAUUAUUGCACAUCAUUUGCGCUCGUCACUUGUAAAACCAAACCACCAUUUUGCGAAUUUCUAUGAUCAAUCUAAAAGUGUGACGCACUAGGACCAAUACGUAACGUGAGGAAUGUCAGCUAUGUGACCUAGAUAAGUCGGGAGGUUCGUUUCCAAUCACUUUAAUAACACGUGUUUUACUGAUGCUGGCCCGAACAUGGUCUAUAGAAAUAUUUCGUAAAAAGAUAACUAUGUGAACAUUAUUAUUUUUUUAAAUACAAAAAUACAUUUCCUAUAUUUCGCAUUAACAUGUGCAAACAUGUUUAAUAGAAAGUCACCGACUACUGCACUUGUGCCAGUAACACGUUGACCUAAACUGGCUGAAUUUAAAUGAUUGUGAAGAAACUGCCAAAUAUUUUAAAAUAGACGGCCGUUGAGAUUUAUAACUGCAUAGGCUCGGAUAAAAAGUAGCCAAUGCUUCAAAGUAAAAUGUCCGGUCAUAAUAUAGUAGGUAGUAAUAUCGUGGGGGUCCACAUAUCUUCACAAUUCUUCGUUAUCGUCGUGUAGGCGACAGGGACUAAUAUCACUGAUUAUUUCCAAAUAAGUUAAAUGACUCAUGUACGGUCAGCCACAGUGGAAGAGAGGAUAUUUGUUUGAAGCCACUCACACUAUUUUAAAUCGCAUCUCUUUCGGCUGUUUGAAAAAUAUUAGCUAUGUUAAUUGUACCUACUAUCAGGACCGAUAUUGUGUUUUCUGAUAAUGUUUUAUGGAUUUUUAGCAUGUUUGCUGUCCGUUUUAACAAAAAAUAAAUAAAAAAAUAACGAAAUGCAUAGCAUUUAAUACUUUCUCGUAAAUUAUAGGCCUAUAUAAUCUCUAGAAAAAUAAUAUGUUAUUGAACGUUAUGGGUUUUAAUGAAUUAAUCUCACUAUAACAAAAACAUUUUUUUUUGGAUGGUUUGUGUGUGUGUGUGUGGGUGUGUGGGUGCGUGUGUGUGUGUGAGAGAGACAGAGAGUGAAAGAGAGAUAGGUUGCGAAUGUUAGUUAUAUUUUAAAAUGUUGUUACACCAAUAGGUCAACCGGUCACACACACAGGCUAUUAUUAUGAUUACAAUCACUGUUAUUGUUAUAAUUCUUAGUCAUUAUGGUUUUUAUCACUAUUAUAUAUCAGUGUGUUAUUAUUAUUUGUUAGUAUUACAUACGGGGAUUGGCUACACUAUAACAUCAGUGUACAUAACUUUAGAAUUUGACGCUGAACAAAGGCUUUAAAAUGUCUUUAGAAGGGACAAAAUUAUUUGGCAAAUAUUAAUUGAUACUUGCAAGGUGGGAAUGUUGGUGUGUGUUGACAUACAGAUUUUAUUGGGGAUUUGGAAGGGGCUACGAGUGGGGAGAGGGGAUUUUGGUAGUUAAUACAUAGCGACAUCUAGUGGUUACUGUGGGGAAAUUGCGUCACGUUUGAAGGCCACAUAUUAGUUACUCGUUUUACCAAUAUUUCGAUUAUUUCUUCUUUGUAAUUUAACGAAAUAAUGACAGCAGAAAGUAAUGUAAAUGUUGAAAUCUGAAAAUAACGAAAGACGUAUGACCGAAUAAAUGUAUGGAGGUAUGCAGCAACCACACGUCAACAAAAAGAAUAGUCUUUACUAGCCAAAAACACAACAUUCAACUCUUAGAUUUGGUGGAAUGUCUUUUUUUUCUUCCUCAAAUUAAAGAGAAAAUACAACACUUUUUUUUUGUUGCAAUAAACCUGAAUGAAAUGACGUAACAUACUAUUUCUCACUGUAUUUCUUAGUUCUUAAAAUGUCUUGACUUUAUUCUUUUUUGGACAUAUUUUUGAUAAUAGAUUUAUUUUAAAAGACUUGUCCCUGGGUAUUAUCAUGUUAUUACUAAUACUACUAAUUUAUUAGUUAUUUUUUCGACAAAUAGAUUAUUUGAAUUGCAGACAUUUACAGUAAAAUAGUUAUAUUGUGUUACACACGUGUACAAGUUUAUUUAGUUGCAAAUGUAAUAAUAUUGUUAUCUUCUUUAAUCAUAGCAUGCACUAUAGGGUACGCUUAUUUUUUUCGAUUCGUUAUUCCUGUCUGUAAAAUUUUAAUUAGCUUAGGCUACAUAAACAAAUGUUACGCGUGCAAACAAAUACAGAUAUAAAAAUUAAGGUCUCCCUUAUCUUUUUAGACUAUGAAGAAUAUUAUUAUUUUACGCCCUUACUUGAGCGGUCAGUGUACAUGCAUGCGGUGUUUGCCAAUCCCACAAAUGGUGUCCCUACACAAGUACACUGACACUUGAAGUUGUACGCGCAACAAACCGGGUCCGAAUCCGGGUCAGGAAAAUGUUGGUGUAACAUCUGAUCCAUUUGCUUUACAUUUGGUAGUUGCCUAGGUUUACGUCUAUACAAUCUAACUCGGUGUUAAGUUAUGUGAAUACAACAAGGUUAUCUCUAAGAUUUAGGACGUAAUAAAAUGUACAGCAAAGUACUUAAAAUAAAAGGUUUCAGCCGUAAACAAUCCUUAUUUUUAAUAAUUUAAUUCGAUGUACAGUGUAUUAAAUUAUUGUGCUCAGAUAGAGUUCAUAUUAUAACAAAAAUACAUGGCGGCUAUUUGAGACAAAAUUGAUAACGGUGGUUGCUCAUAGCAAUUUGUGGAAAGGUAUUUCAGCUGUUUGGUACUAAUGGCAUUAAAGUUGAGUAUUUCUUUUCAGACCACGUUGCACACAGAUUUAUUAAUCCCUGUAGUGACCGUUUUUUCAAAUGUUCCAAACUCACAUCCAUUUCAGAUCUACUAUCUCAAUGUAAAAUGAAUAUGACAAAGCACCGAUCCACUGCUCCAGGUAUUAUAUUCAUGCUUCUUAAUAAUAGGCUAUAUAUGCGACCAGUUAUUCCAUUUAAUAAGAUAGAGGACCUUUUAUUUUGUUUGUUUUUUGUUGUUGUUUUUUUUCCAUAGCAUAUGCCCAGAAUAAUAUAUGUUCAUUGUCAAAAUGUAUCACUGGCAGUAAUGAUGUUAUUUUAAUGUUAAGUGAUACAAACUGUGGCUGUAAAUGUCAAAUCAAAGUCUGCAAUUUGAGUUACCAUGAGUCAAUGCCAAGAUUAUGUGCUAGGCUAUAACAAAUAAAUCCAGAAAUGUAAUAGCCAUGUUUCAAUGUCAUGUCAUGCUUGCUAUAGCUGUUGAAAAAAAUGGCACCAUAUAAGAUUGUCACCAUCAUUAUCCGCGGUUACUGUUGGUUUGUCUACUGUAAACUGUUAAGCUAACGAAAUUACGUUUAUAUGGAAGAUACAUGCCUUCACGUUUAAUCUACUAUGUUAAGGUAUCAAGGUGAAGGGCAAACAGUAUACAGAGAAAUGGACAAACACAAUGAAGUCACACCAGAACAUCAGGGUAACUAAGAAAACCAGUAACUUUACUGAAUUCUCUGAAAAAUACAAAUACCCUUUCCCCAGCAGAAUAUACUUUUAUUUCAGGUUCCAGGUUAUUUCAUUACAUAGACUACAACUGCAUCCAGUCCUUUGAGAUACAAAGAUGUGGUUUUAAUUUAAUAACAUCUUAUCUUCAGUUGGCGACAAAGGCCAGCUUAUGCCGCUGAAAGCCGCUCCUGCGUUUCAAACACUAACUUCAGACCUCCACAAUUUUCAGAUUUAUACAAGCUACAUUAGACACUAAAGACUAGUGAGUAUUUCUAGCUAUUCAUCUCUAUAUAUAUAUUAUGGUGUAUAUAUAUAUAUAUAUAUAUAUAUAUAUAUAUAUAUAUAUAUAUAUUAUGGCAGACUAAAAGACAAUUGCAAACAACGUGGAUCUAUCAAAGAACCCCAAUUGAAUAGAGUUUGGGAGCUUAAACAAUGGUUUGAUUUACCACAUCACUGUACAAGUCUAUGGACUCCUGGUUGUGGAAGGGACUGAUAAAAAGAAUAGCUGAGGUACUGUGAGGGUUCAUUUGAGCGGAGGUAGCCUAGCGGUAUUAUAGGCUAAGACAGAAAAAUUACAACUGAUCAACAGGUGAAGAAAUACAACAGCUUAAAAUCCAUAACUGAAAUAAAAUAUUAAAUCAAGCACGUCUUUGGUUACACAAUGUCAAUAAACGCCACCUAGACCUCAAAAAGCAAACUACAUAAAUAUGUAGAUUUCCGCGUUUGUUUCUACCUAAUUAAUGUGGCAUGGGGCACAAAAAGCUAAGUAACUCAACCAGCUAUGAACAAAAGUAGAAUUUGGAAAACAUGCUUUUCCAUGACAAAUAUUCAAUGAAUAUACCCAAAAUUACACAUAUUUAUUUUUUGAUUGAAAAUGCAGUUCACAUAGAAAUGCAUUCCAAAUAUAGGCAAUUAGCCAAUGACACUAAAGAUAAUACCAUUAGGACAUGCAAUGGUAUUUCAAACCUCUUACCAGUUUGACACCAGAACAGUAUAAAGUCUGACCAAUUCAAAUUGAAAUGGGAAACCAAUUGUACAUUUCGAGCAAAUGCUUUUAUUGUUUUUUUUUUUCAAUGCUUGCAAUAACCAUAAAUGAAUGUGAAAAUAAAAGUUGAAUAAUAUUACAACACAAAAAUGCCACUGGCUUUGGUUUCUCCACACAUAUGCUGCCUGAAAUAUCAUGUUUUUUUUUCUCAACCUUUUGUACUGAAUUAAAAAAAGAAAGAACACGUUAGGGGCUCUGCCCCUGUUUCUGACUACACAGACUGUAUACAGUCACAACAUAGUGAACCUUUGCAUGAAAUAUGCACAUAGAAAUACCAUAACAAUUUAGUGACAGUAGACUGAGGAGUGAGAGGCAGAGAAAUAAUGUGUCUAGUUAAUGUUUUUUCUUUUUUUAAACAAGCUGUAUUAGUCUGAGAUCAACUCUUGUGCUUCUCACAAACCAGCGUGUACAUUUUCCCUACAACAUCAUGUUUGAAUACUUGAUGUUACAGUGCUGAGGUGGGGGUGGGGGGGGGGUACUCUGAGCUGGCGACUGGGGUUGAGUAUAAGCACCACACCUGUAGAUUAACAGUUUACCACCCAUGUAGAUUAACAGUUUACCACACAUGUAGAUUAACAGUUUACCACCCAUGUACUCAACAGCUCCAUCGUUUGACACAGAUAGAAUUUGGAACUUUCAAAUAAAUAUUUUCUCCUGGACUCUGGUGUGUCCUGCACUGUGUUUCACUUCGAUGACGGGCAAAAUGCUUUGUCUGUGAAAACAUUAAAUUAAACGGUCAAAAUAUACAGACUGUAAGUCCCAUCAAAGAGGAUGUUGGAGGAUAUCGCUGAAUCUUAACUAUGAGGAUCAAGAGACAUGCAAAGAUUGUAUCAAACAUGUUCAUUUCACAUGCCACAUGUCAUCCCCUGUCUGGACCUCAGUGCCCCAGGUCGGAUCCCACAUGGUCUCCUCAAACAUGUUGAACAUAGACAUGGGCAACUCUGUUAAGCUGGUUCUCAUGGAUACACUGAAUUUGCCUCAGAACAGCACCGUCUAAGGCUCAAAUAAAACCAACAAAAAACAGACAAUAUGUGCAACUGCACAUAAGAAACUCCACUAAGAAAAAACCCCCACAAAAAAAACAUUAUUAUAUAUAUUUAUAUAUUAGAAAGCUAUACACAAGCAUGUUAAUUUCACAGAUUUUUUUUUUAAAGAUUCUUAAUAUUAUCAUUAUUAUAUAUAAUUAGAAAUACACGUUUAAAAACGAAACCUCUACAAAGAGAAAACAGUUCAGCAAAGCACGGGUUCUCAGUCUGUUUUCAUGGCUUAGGGUUUGAACACCCAGUAAUUUCCUUCCUCCUUAGACUAUCUGUCUUGUAUUAGCAAAGCUAUCAAAAAACACAUUCUGGCUUAUAGAAACUACAAAAAGCCACAAAAAUGCUUUGCAUUGUAUUCCUUUCAUAUGAAAAUAUAAGCAAGUGUAUCGUACAAUUGUAUUUUGUAAUACUGAGUAUCUAUUACCAGACCCAGGGUUUCUUGAUUACAAUAACAUGGCUCUUGGGUAAAAGGAUGGUCCUAUCAAUGUGCUCCACAUUUCUUAAGGAGCUCUGUGUUUAGCAUGGUUUCGCUUCCUGGUUUCUCUCAUCUACCAAAGGGCCUACGGGUAUACCUGUACAAUCGUUCAAAUGUUGCAUAUUAGCUAUCAUUUUGUGUAUGAAUAAUCUGUAAUAUCUGGCAACUUUUGACCCCUCCCCUUUGCCCCCUGACCCUCUAUUUACAUAAAUACGUUGAACCUGCAACAUGACAUCAUCUAUUGUAACAUACAUUUUGCAAGGGAGAACUGCGGAGAAAGGUAGCAAUGAAGUUGACUCUGUACACAUGUAUUGGUUGACCAACUCAAGAGCUAGGCGGUUCAUUCAGCAACACACGCUCCCGAUUUAUCCUCUAGUCACUGAUCAUCACUGAGGCAAGUUGGAAGUACUUUACAAAACAGAGUACCUGACUUUUUUUUAGUUAUUUGUCAAUAUGCAUACAUGUACACAUAUACACGUGUAAUUAUAUAUGCAUACAUUUUUUUUUUUCAAACACUGCAAAAGUAAUGCAUAGUUCCCCACCAAGAAAUCCCCCCC
ensembl:lncRNA